GACGUAGGGGGCCAGCGUUGUUCGGAAUUACUGGGUGUAAAGGGUUCGUAGGCGGUGUGGCAAGUCGGGAGUGAAAUCUCUGGGCUCAACUCAGAGACUGCUUCCGAAACUGCUGUGCUGGAGUGUGGGAGAGGCGCGUGGAAUUGCAGGUGUAGCGGCGAAAUGCGUAGAUAUCGAGAGGAACACCUGCGGCGAAGGCGGGUUGCUGGGCUGACACUGACGCUGAGGCGCGAAAGCUAGGGGAGCGAACGGG
rnacentral:rRNA from 1 species